GCAACAUUGGGGCUGCUGGCGACAGUGUUUGUCAUUGUGCCAGACUGGUACUCGUUGCUGAAAGAAAAUAAUUCUUACAAGCAUUGUUUCCAUUUCGUUUUAUGUCAGCCUGCCAACACCACAUAUCACCACUCCAAGGAUAAUGCUCAUGACCAUGGCUCUCACAUGCUUUGAGAUAAACUGCCAUUCAGAGGUAAGCAAGGUACCACUGUAAUAUAACUGAAAUGUUUUGGGGCAAGUGAAAAAAAAAAAAAUUUAGUGUAACGCAUUUGUCGAGUUCCAGUAUGUCUUUAUUUAGAUUAAAUAAAACAGUACAAGAACUGACAUUUGUAAUCAUGGAACACUGCUCUCACUCUUAACACUAAUACUCUCAAUGCAUCAUGUAACUUUCACUUUGUUAGCUAAGGUGUGAAUCUGUCAAACUUUUUUUGUGUGGUCUGAAUGCAAUGCCAUAAAAACCUACUGCUGCUAAUCUUUUCAUUCUUUUGCCAUUUCUUGCAGAAAAGUUUGCAUGCCAGCAUCAGCAGACU